rnacentral:rRNA from 1 species
AGCUCCAAUAGCGUAUAUUAAAGUUGUUGCAGUUAAAAAGCUCGUAGUUGGAUUUCUGGGAGGGUGCCAAUGUCCGCCGAUGUGCGUGCGCAGCGGCGCCCUUUCAUCCUUCUGUUAACGGUACUCGGCAUUUAUUUGCUGGUAUCGGGCUCAGAUAUUUUACCUUGAGAAAAUUAGAGUGUUUCAGGCAGGCUUGGCCGGAAUACAUUAGCAUGGAAUAAUGGAAUAGGACUACGGUCUCUUUGUUGGUUUGAGGGACUGCAGUAAUGAUUAAUAGGGAUAGUUGGGGGCAUUAGUAUUUAAUUGUCAGAGGUGGAAUUCUCGGAUUUGUUAAAGACUAACUUAUGCGAAAGCAUUUGCCAAGGAUGUUUUCA